UACGGAGGGUGCAAGCGUUAAUCGGAAUUACUGGGCGUAAAGCGCACGCAGGCGGUCUGUCAAGUCGGAUGUGAAAUCCCCGGGCUCAACCUGGGAACUGCAUUCGAAACUGGCAGGCUAGAGUCUUGUAGAGGGGGGUAGAAUUCCAGGUGUAGCGGUGAAAUGCGUAGAGAUCUGAGGAAUACCGGUGGCGAAGGCGGCCCCCUGGACAAAGACUGACGCUCAGGUGCGAAAGCGUGGGGAGCAAACAGGAUUAGAUACCCUGGUAGUCCACGCCGUAAACGAUGUCGAUUUGGAGGUUGUGCCGUUGAGGCGUGGGUUCCGGAGCUAACGCGUUAAAUCGACCGCCUGGGGAGUACGGCCGCAAGGUUAAA
rnacentral:rRNA from 1 species